GUCUACGGCCAUACCACCCUGAUCCCGGCUGCUCUCCGAAGCUAAGCAGGGUCUGGCCUGGUUAGUACUUGGAUGAGAGACCACCUAGGAAGACCAGGUACUGUAGGCG
rnacentral:rRNA from 1 species